UACGUAGGGGGGCAAGCGUUUGUCCGGAAUCAUUGGGCGUAAAGAGCGUGUAGGCGGCUUGGUAAGUCCGCUGUGAAAGUCCAGGGCUCAACCCUGGAAAGCCGGUGGAAACUGUCAAGCUUGAGUCCGGAAGAGGCGAGUGGAAUUCCUGGUGUAGCGGUGAAAUGCGCAGAUAUCAGGAGGAACACCAGUGGCGAAGGCGGCUCACUGGCCCGUUACCGAGCUCAGGCGCGACACUGGGGAGCAAACAGG
rnacentral:rRNA from 1 species